rnacentral:rRNA from 1 species
UACGUAGGGUGCAAGCGUUGUCCGGAAUUAUUGGGCGUAAAGAGCUCGUAGGCGGUUUGUCGCGUCGAAUGUGAAAACCCGGGGCUCAACCCCGGGCCUGCAUUCGAUACGGGCAGACUAGAGUUCGGUAGGGGAGUCUGGAAUUCCUGGUGUAGCGGUGAAAUGCGCAGAUAUCAGGAGGAACACCGGUGGCGAAGGCGGGACUCUGGGCCGAUACUGACGCUGAGGAGCGAAGCGUGGGGAGCAA